ensembl:lncRNA
CCUUCAUAUUGCUCAACAUUCAGGCUGGAGGGGAAGUUAGGUUGUUUUUUCAGGCUACUGAGUGAGAAAGCUAGAAUUUGAGUCUAGCAGUCUGAUUUCCAAUCUGUGAUCAUUCACUAUACUUCACUGCAUGGAUGGGUCUAGUGAUCAUAAUCCACCCCUUUAAUUUGGCAGAUGAGAUGAGGAAAUAGAGAUUAUGUAACUUUUCUAAGGCCCAAUGCCCUUUCGACUUCACCACCUUGUCUCUUGUCUCCAUUGCCUCUUCACCAACCUCGACUCAACUUUUAGCUGAGCUCCUACCAAAACCUCAGAAUAGUGUGUGUUUUAGCUAUUUGAUAUACUCUUCCGGACUAAUAAUGACUGAGUCUAAAGGUGGGACUUGUAGACCAGAGAGGAGGAACGAGUGGUGUCUUGAUAUGUGGUGGGACAAGAGAAGCCCCAUGAUGUCCCUAGAAUCACAUCAUGUAAAUUCUCUUCUGCUCCAUUUCUGCAUAGAUCUUGUCUUCACACCAUUUAUUUCUUCAAAAGUUAUUUACUGAGUACCUACUAUGUGCCAGGCAGCAUGCUAGCGGCUUAGGACACAUCUGUGAACAAAACAGACAGAAGCCCCUGAUCUUGUGAGACUUACAUUCUAGAAGGGAGUGGCAGAGAACAAACAGUAGAUAUUAUAAAUGAUAAAUGGAUAAAUUAAAUAGUCUUUUAGAUGAUGAUAAAUGAUACAGAAAACAACAGAUCAGGGUAAGAAAGAUUAGGAAUGCUGAGAAGCAGGUCUUCGCAGGUGGAAUAGAGUGUUCAGGGGGGACUCACUGAGAAGGUGGCAUUUGAAUGAAGACUUGCAGGUAAUAAGGGAAAAAGCCACUCAGAUUUUUGGAAGAAGACCAAUCCACAAAGAUAGAUGAGCCAAGGUAAAGGCUUUAAUGUAGGAACAUGUGUAGAAUAUUUGGAGCAGAGUACAAGGCCAGUGAAGCAGGAGGAGAAGACUAAAAGGUGAAGUCAGAGAUGGAACCAGGAGUUAAACCACGUAGUGACUUGUCAGUCAUUGUUUGGACUCUCACUUUCCUUCUGAUUGAAAUGGGGAGGCAUUGCAGGACCUUAACCAGAGGACAGAAAUGGUAUGGCUGAUAUUUUAACUAAUCACUUUGGUUGCACUGUUGAGAAUAGGCAGUCAGGGAGCAGGAGAGAGAGGGAGAUUGUUAGGAGGCAAUGUCAAUAACCAAGGCAGGGACGGUGGUAGCGUGGAACAGUGGAGAAGUGGUCAUAGUCUGGAUACAGGACUUCCUGAUGUAAUAGAUACGGAAUACAAGAGAAAGAGAAGUCACGAAUGACUUCAAUGUCUUUGGUGUAAUUAAGUGGAAGAUUGGAGUUGUCAUCAACUGAGAUGUGAAAGACUGAAGAAGCAGCAGAACGGGAGGUGGACCAAGAGCUCAACGCUGGUGCCAGGAGCUGUGUUAGGCACGAUGAAGACACAAAAAGAAAAGAACACCCUAGAAGCUCAUGGAGGAGAGGUGAAGAUGAAUCAUGUCCAUGAUAAUCACAAUAUAAGAUGGAAAUUGAUAAGCAUGUAUUUGAAAAUAGAGAAUUGUGAGAAUUUGGAGAAGAAACGCUUAUUUCUAGCUGGAAAUGAGAGAUCCAUGAAGAUGUGACAGAUUAGAUUUUCUAAGAGUGACCGCACAAUAUCUCCCAUCCCACAUGCUCUUCUGUGAUGAGAUAUUGAUAUUCCUCCCAUUCAGAGUGGGAGUAGAUGUCUUCUUCCCUUGAAUGGGCUUGUGACUCAUUUAUAAUCAAUACAGUGCGCAGCAGAAAUGACACUGCAAAACUUCUGAGGCUAGGUCGGAAAAGGAGAUUCAGAUCCCACCCUGUUUUCUGGGACAUGAUGUAAAAUGUCCUGAGCCUCCGUGUGAGAAGUCAAUUCCCCUGAGGCUGCCAUGCUUUGAGGAAGCCUAGGCCACAUGGAGAGGCUACUUGUAGGCGCUCUGCUUGACAGUCCCAGCUGAGAGCCUAGCUGAUGGCCAGUGUCAGCAGCCGACAUGUGAGAGAAGGUACCUCCGCGCGCUUCCAGCCCCCAGCUGCUAAGUCACCUCCAGCCAUUAAGUCUUCCCAGCUUAGGCCCCAGACAUCAUGGAGCACAGUCAAGCCAUCCCCGCCACACACUCUCUGAACUUCUGACAUGGAGAAUCUGUGAGCAUCAUAAAGUAGUUAUUUUGUACCACUUAGGCUUGGAGUGGUUUGCCAGGUAGCAAGAGUUAUCAGAACAGAAGAUUUCUUGAGAGAGGAAACAUUAGAACCAAGUCAAUGUUUAGAUGUGAAGAAAAUGUGAUAUUAAAUGAGGCUGGUGAUUUUAUUAAUUGUGGAGGAAACGCUUUCAAUUUCCCUUCCAUGUUUGAUGUUCUAGCUGUUGAACACCCUUACAUAGAACUAUCUCUAGAUAUUUAUCAGAUUCCGGAACAUUGAUGAAGAUUUUGGAAUGCAGCUCUUCCUUGUGAUUUGAUUCUAUGAUGACAGCACCAUCAAAUACACUUUAGCAGAAUCCAGUUGCUGGGACCAACGAUAGCCAGCUUAAAAGAACAACAAUAACAAGAGGACAUUGAUGGAAUUUACUGCGAGGAAGCGGAAGAGUUUCCAGAAUCAAAGACAAGACUGAAGACCCAUGCAGGGCAGGCCAAGGAGUGAGGCACUCCAGGAACGUAGUGACGGGAAGCCUCGUCCAAGCCCAGCCCUGGAGGCAGACUCUUUGCUGCAUAACCUAGACCACACAGAGAAGCUCAGCCCCUCUCUGAUCUCAGCAAUCAACAUUGUCUACCCAAAACAUACUAGUAGACUGUGCUGGAAUGGGUGAGAGUGCAGUGGGGUGCAGGUGGAACAGAGUUCACAUGGCAAGAGAGAAGCCAGCGUUACUCAGUUCAGAAGGAAACGCUGCCAAAACUGCAUGAAAAACUGUUGAUUUGGAACUGUGUCAUAAAACAGAACAAGAGUAAAGGGUUGAACUGGCUGCUUCAGCCUGAAACAGCUCUCCUGGGUUGAUCCUGCUGAUUUUACUGUUGAUGGCAGAGAAAGACAAAACAAACACAAAGGCAAUGUGGCAACGAACACAGUCCUAACUGGCUUGAAUUCUUCGGCUUACUCCAGUCUUCAUUUAUCCCAACACUGGGAUACAAGGUUUCCGAGGCCACUUUUUUCUAUGAAAUUCUCCACGUUUUUUGACUUAAAGAAAAACUUUCAUCUUUCAGUAAAGAAUCCAUCCAAAUUUGAAGAAGAGGAUUAAAAAGUUCAGAUGUUAUUCCAAACGGAUGUUAAAAAAACAGCCAAACUAUCAGAAAUGAAGGACGGCAAGCAAUUAUUUGAAGCAGCUGGGUUACAAGAAGGACUUCUCACAUGUUAUUACACGCAAAGGAAUUAUGGAUUAUGGAAAGAUGAGCAAUAUAAUUAUGCUCAUGGAGUGUCACAUUAAUUUUUAAGGCUGUGGGAUACGAUGUGAGCAAAAAUAGACAUGGCCCUUCCCCUCGUGGAGCCUAACAGCCUACUGCAGGAGAGAGACAUUAAUUAAAGAAUUACAUAACUGAAUAGAAUAUUACAAAUGCGGCAAGUGCAAUAAAGGAAAGAAAUCCAGACAAUCAGCUUGUCAUGAAAGACUGUUGGGAUUUCACUUGAGAUUGCACUGAAUUUAUAGAUUAAUUUGGAAAAAUUCGCAUUUUUUUACAACAUUGAGUCUUCCUAUCUAGCAACAUGAUAUAGAUCUCCAUUUAUUCAACACGAGGCAGAGAAAAUUAUCCUCAGAGAGAGAAGAAAGAAGCAAAUUCACAGAGCAGAGCAAAGGCCAGAAGUAAAGCCUCAGAGCUGGAGGAUGGAAGAUCCGUCCCCGCCAGCUUUCGGGUGCGCCUCAGUCCUCCUGUUCCUUUACUGCAACCGAUUUAAAUGAUGUUUUGUUCCUGCAACCGCAUAGUUCCU